rnacentral:rRNA from 1 species
ACGCUGGCGGCGUGCUUAACACAUGCAAAGGUCGUACGAGACCGAUUGGAAAGCUUGCUUUUGAAAGUCGAGUGGCAAACGGGUGAGUAACGCGUGGGGAAUCUGCCUUUGAGCGGGGGACAACAUUUUGGAAACGAAUGCUAAUACCGCAUAAAAACUUUAAACACAAGUUUUAAGUUUGAAAGAUGCAAUUGCAUCACUCAAAGAUGAUCCCGCGUUGUAUUAGCUAGUUGGUGAGGUAAAGGCUCACCAAGGCGAUGAUACAUAGCCGACCUGAGAGGGUGAUCGGCCACAUUGGGACUGAGACACGGCCCAAACUCCUACGGGAGGCAGCAGUAGGGAAUCUUCGGCAAUGGACGAAAGUCUGACCGAGCAACGCCGCGUGAGUGAAGAAGGUUUCGGAUCGUAAAACUCUGUUGGUAGAGAAGAACGUUGGUGAGAGUGGAAAGCUCAUCAAGUGACGGUAACUACCCAGAAAGGGACGGCUAACUACGUG